GGAGUGGUGUCUGAGUGGUCUAAAGAGCUCGAUUGCUAAUCGAGUGUGUAAGAAAUUACACCGAGGGUUCGAAUCCCUCCCAUUCCG
rnacentral:tRNA from 1 species